rnacentral:tRNA from 1 species
GCGAGGUUGGUGUAAUGGUUAUCAUGGUUGCCUUCCAAGCAAUCGAUCCGGGUUCGAUUCCCGGACCUCGCA